AUUAGUGGCGAACGGGUGAGUAACACGUGAGCAAUCUGCCCCCGACUCUGGGAUAACCCCGAGAAAUCGGAGCUAAUACCGGAUACGACACCUCCUGGCAUCAGGUGGGUGUGGAAAGAAUUUCGGUUGGGGAUGAGCUCGCGGCCUAUCAGCUUGUUGGUGAGGUAAUGGCUCACCAAGGCGACGACGGGUAGCCGGCCUGAGA
rnacentral:rRNA from 14 species